GUGCUCACUUUGGCAGCACAUAUACUAAAAUUGGAACAAUACAGAAAAGAUUAGCAUGGCCCCUGAGCAAGGGUGACACACAGAUUCAUGAAGCGUUCCAUAUUUUU
rnacentral:snRNA from 1 species